rnacentral:rRNA from 1 species
AGCAGCCGCGGUAAUUCCAGCUCCAAUAGCGUAUAUUAAAGUUGUUGUAGUUAAAAAGCUCGUAGUUGAAUUUCGGAAUCUGUCCGUUGGUCGGGCUUCAUUGUCCGUACUGAUGUGAUGGGUUCUUACCUUCUGAAUAACCAGCAUGUCAUUAAUUUGGUGUGUUGGGGAAGCAGGACUAUUACCUUGAAAAAAUUAGAGUGCUCAAAGCAGGCUAGUGCCUGAAUACAUUAGCAUGGAAUAAUAAAAUAGGACGGCAUGGUUCUAUUUUGUUGGUUUCUAGGAUCACCGUAAUGAUUAAUAGGGAUAGUUGGGGGCAUUAGUAUUCAAUUGUCAGAGGUGAAAUUCUUGGAUUUAUUGAAGACUAACUUCUGCGAAAGCAUUUGCCAAGGAUGUUUUCAUUAAUCAAGAACGAAAGUUAGGGGAUCGAAGACGAUCAGGUACCGUCGUAGUCUUAACCAUAAACUAUGCCGACUAGGGAUCGGACGAUGUUAAUUUUAUAAUGACUCGUUCGGCG